rnacentral:RNase_P_RNA from 1 species
UGAGUAAACCGGGCAGUCGCGAGAGCAUUUAACGCUUUCGAGGAAAGUCCGAGCUCCGCAGGGCAGGGUGCUGGGUAACGCCCAGUGGGGGCGACCCUAAGGAUAGUGCCACAGAAAGAAACCGCCACUGGCGGGGUUUCAGUUUUAAUCCCGGCAGGGGUAAGGGUGCAACGGUGCGGUAAAAGCGCACCAGGGGCCGGGCGACCGGCUCGCUAGGUAAACCCCACCCGGAGCAAGACUGAAUAGGAGGGAGAUGACGUUGCCCGCCGAAUCCCUCGGGUGAGAGUCGCUGGAGGUGCCAGGCAACUGGUAUCCUAGAUAGAUGACUGCUACUCUAUUUUUUGGAGCACAGAACUCGGCUUACAGGUUUGCUCAUUUU